rnacentral:rRNA from 1 species
AUUGAACGCUGGCGGCAUGCCUUACACAUGCAAGUCGAACGGUAACGCGGGGGCAACCCUGGCGACGAGUGGCGAACGGGUGAGUAAUACAUCGGAACGUGUCCUGUUGUGGGGGAUAACCCAUCGAAAGGUGAGCUAAUACCGCAUGAUCUGGAGACAGCAAAGCAGGGGACCGGUAACGGCCUUGCGCGAUUGGAGCGGCCGAUGUCCGAUUAGCUAGUUGGUGGGGAAAGCCCACCAAGGCAACGAUCGGUAGCUGGUCUGAGAGGAUGAUCAGCCACACUGGGACUGAGACACGGCCCAGACUCCUACGGGAGGCAGCAGUGGGGAAUUUUGGACAAUGGGGGCAACCCUGAUCCAGCCAUGCCGCGUGAGUGAAGAAGG